ensembl:ncRNA W05B2.13 ncRNA
CUUCAAGUUUUUGGCGGGAGUUGUGAGGAGUAGAGGAGAGGGGGGGGGGGGGAAGAGCUCCGAGCGAGAGCUCACACGCAAGUGGAUAUAGAUGGUAAUGUGAGAAACCGUCUCAUGUCGUGUGUCCACUAGCACUUUGAUUGUUGACAA